rnacentral:rRNA from 1 species
CACGUAGGGGGCGAGCGUUGUCCGGAUUCAUUGGGCGUAAAGAGCUCGUAGGCGGCUCAGUAAGUCGGGUGUGAAACCCUCAGGCUCAACCUGGGGACGCCACUCGAUACUGCUGUGGCUAGAGUCCAGUAGAGGAGUGCGGAAUUCCCGGUGUAGCGGUGAAAUGCGCAGAUAUCGGGAGGAACACCAACGGCGAAGGCAGCACUCUGGGCUGGUACUGACGCUGAGGAGCGAAAGCGUGGGUAGCAAACAGG